rnacentral:rRNA from 1 species
UACAGAGGUCCCAAGCGUUGUUCGGAUUCACUGGGCGUAAAGGGUGCGUAGGUGGUGAGGUAAGUCGGAUGUGAAAGCUCGGAGCUCAACUCCGAAAUGGCAUUGGAAACUACCUUGCUCGAGGGUUGGAGGGGGGACUGGAAUGCUUGGUGUAGCAGUGAAAUGCGUAGAUAUCAAGCGGAACACCAGUGGCGAAGGCGAGUCCCUGGACAACUCCUGAUACUGAGGCACGAAAGCUAGGGGAGCAAACAGG